rnacentral:rRNA from 1 species
GAACGGUUUCUAUGUAUACUAUAACUCAGAUUAUAACAAACGUUAGUUUAAAGAACCAUCAAAAGUAGGUUCUUUCUGUGCGAAACCAUAAGGAUCGGCGUCCGUGUGAGAAAACCGCUGAGAAGGGAGAACCUACGAGGACCUGUGGCCAUACGAGGAGACCCAGUGAAAAGUGAGAAGUUGAGUACUUCCCCCAGAUCUUAAAGUUGGAAACAUCCAAUUUAACAUACACACCUUUGUUAACAACAGUAGAUAAAACGUCUAUAAUUUUGGGUUUUAAAACUUUCGAGUAUACACACGUACUCUGUUCAUCAUUCUACGUAAACUACAACGAAACUAUAAUGGGGUAUCUUCACAGGGUUUAAUUAUGAGGGAGGCGGGGUAUUAUAUUCUUGUGAAAAGUUCCAUUUUUUUUAACUUUUUGUAAGAAUAUAAUACCCUGUUUCCCUCAUUGUAUAAAUCAGCGGGUCACUCCUCUUUUUAGAAUGUACACAAGUAGUUUCUACACAACACUACAUAACUUAGAACUAUACGAAAAUACAUUCAAACGUAUCACGUACCUUACAUGGGGUUUAGCCACGUGUACAAAUACUAAACACAUGAUUUUAAAACCUGCACGUAACGUGCACGUUCGAAUGAUAAUAUGUUUCUUUUCUUCCGUCGUCCGUUGUCAAAUGGUACUCGUUCACACCGUUCGUGUUCGUGGACGAAGAAGGAAUGACCCACACGCUCUACCAAGCAAGUAACUGAAGCUCGGAUGACAUAGCUACCAUUAAUAUAGUUGUCAUUACAGAAAGGAAAGCAGAAGACAGUAUCCAUAUACAUGCCGACGUUGGAGUCACUCAUGAGUGGUAGCCUGGCUUGUAUACUCACAAGUUACGUUAUUCGUUUGCCACUGUUGCCAAGGACUGUACGUUCGCCUCCUAGUAUUAGGUCCACGUUGAGACUGGCCUUGGCCCCUUGAAAAGGGCUGCUUGUGUGGUCAAGUACUAGUACCCUUACUUUUAAGUUUACCACGAGUACCAACCAUACGGGCUGACAGACUACUCUUUUCUCGCCUUAUGUUGGUCUUCACAGUAUGUAAUAUGGGCGAAAUAUUAAGUCGUGGUAACUUAACAGUUAAAGGUCCUACGUAAAUGAAGAUAGAUAGUACUGUAAGACGUGCGAGAGGAAUCUACCGUGACGUGUUAAUGUUGAUUAUUAAUACUCGGGAGGUUAGAUUUACUUAGUGUCCUUUACAUCUCAAAAUCAUUCUCAGUCACCCUCGUAAGAUGUACGGUAGCAGUUCUUUUCUCCCUUGUUAGUUAUAAUAUCUUAUGAUUUCACCCAUUUAACAACAAGACGAAACAAGAGGUUUGUCUAGAGAAGGAACCAUAUUUAAAUACUACACAUGAGUUAGACAACAUAAUUAUUCAUAGUGUGACCUUAAUCGGACAGGUUAUCGAAUUAUAUAAAAUGUUAUCUAAAGUGAAAAACAAAAAAAAUAAGAUUUCUUUUUUUAUGAAUUACAAUCAUAUAGGAUCUGGAAAAGUAAACUUGAGGUACUAAGGGAUUAUCUAUAUUGUCAAUAGAACAAAGUCAAUCCUCUUUUUUACUUAAACAAACAGGCUGGAAUGUAUUAGAGAUUUAUAACGCCAGCAUAGAAUAUUGAAUAGAAAAUCAAAGAGAAACGGUGAUUCGUGUUGUAAAAAACAUCCGAUGGUUCGUAACCGUAUGAUGAAUAUUAGAAGGAUAGUACAAUACGUUUUCCACUUAGACAUGAGUAAUUUGAAACAAUUUAUCAUCCAGGAGGAUUGACAUACGGUUUUAGAUUAAUAAAGAGACACAGAUAUCAUACAAUCAGGUCGUUUUACCUACAAGAACUCAUACUUUAAAACGACCGACCAAUUCUAAACUAAAUAUCAAUAAUCAUCGUAAAGUCCAUCCACAUCAAGAACGAUUCAAAAAAAUGUGCUAAGACUUAACUAUUAUCUGAUUUUAGAGCUCUAUUAACUAUCCUGGUUCCAUGCAUAACAAAUAUUACUGAGCACAAUACUAUUACGUUCUAUCUAAUCUUUCUCUCACGUACUUAGUAAAGCUAUCUUAUAAUUUUUGAAUGUAUACGUGAACAAGUAUACAUUCAUAGGUAUCCCUGGACGGAAUACAGAGACACACACACACGCGCGCGCACACACAUACACACGCACACGCACACGCACACGCACACGCACACACACACAAUAAGGUAGGUGCUUCAGCGGUGGUUCUUGCCAAGUGACUAUCAUAGUCGCACGUACAAAGGUAGGGCUCACCUCCAGUCCAAUAAUUAGUUGUACCUCCGCACGGAAUCGGACCUAGGGUUGUUCUAGUAGCCCUCGAAGCCCUUUAAACUCUGCGGGCAAGAGGUACACCGGUUGCGGUUGAUCGAUGUCCGUAACGCGGCCGGAGCCGUCCCCAGCCAGUUCGGGUUAGUGGUAAAACCCUGUCGAAAGUACUUUACCGAUCCAACUCGGUUCGACCUUUUAUACUCCUAAAAGAGGUUCGUCCUGGACUCGAGUUACGUGGUUCUUGUUGUAGUUAACUUCGUUGUGAAGUACAUAUAUAUAUUACAUAACACUCGGAACCUAGCUCGAGUACACACUCCGAUUACAUAACACUCGGAAAAUGAAACUUUACACACUAUUACUACACUGUCUCAAUACCUAACACCUGUCGUUUAAAUACACUGUUAAGACAUUAUACCACGGAUUAAUUCACAUCUAGACUAAUAAACCAAAAACUUGUACACCUCAUGGGUACUACCGGACUGUU